CACAUAUCACAUUUUAGUCAGAUUCCAGAACGUGACUAAUAAGCGUGCAUACAUGCAUGCACACACACUCAAGUUGCUCUGCCUUGGAAACCUGUGCGAGGGCUGGAACACGCCAGACUCUCAAGAGUUAUUUUUAGAGAGCUUGUUCUCACUGCCCACAGGCUGUGUUUUCAAUAGAACAAUUCUAGGGAACCAGCAGGCAUCUUUCAGAUCUCGCAGGAAUAAUGCCCCAGGGUGCUGCCAGGUCCUCCUCUGUGGAAGCCCGCAUUGCACUUGGCAGCCCAGCUCUGGCGGCUGAGGCCCCCUUUGGUGCCAUAUAAAGGGAGAUUUUCAUGGCUCCUGCUGGCAAAGCGAUACUUCUGUGCCUUUGCAGGCAUCUAUUUUUGAGGUUUCUAUAAUAAGCACCAAUCACAGAAGACUCAAGCACAUGCACAGACACACACAUGCACACCCAUGUAUAUAAAUACCAAGCGUCGGCUCGAUACAAGAUGCUGCUUUUUCAUAAUAAAAGUGUCCUGGUAUAGAGCCAGUGGAAAUCUGGAGGGAAGCAUGUGAUGCCCCAGGAAGUGUGGGGAGAUUUUCUAGGAACAGUUUGUUCUGGUCUAAUUGGCUGCCUUCUAAAUCCCAGUGCCCUGGCCAGCAGUGGCGGCCCCACCCCUGUCCCCGGUGGGCUGAGGACAGAGCGGCCAGAAAUGCUUGUGCUCCUGACAAGAGGCAGAGAACGGAGAACCAGAGGCCACGUGGGCUCUGAGGGCUCUGCCCCCAUGUGGGGACUCGGAGUCCAGCUGCACAAAGAUGGGGGCUGCUCUGACCUCCCCAUGCCCAGCUCUGCGAGGAAGACUCCGAUCCCUACCCAGCAGAGAGGCUAAAGGCUCCCUAAUGGGCCAGGGGCCACUGUCACAAACUGACCCAGCCGAAGGGUGCUGUGUCUUUGGGAAGGGGACUGUAGUAUGCACUCAUUUGGGAUUACUUUUCUCUCCUCUCCUACUGUGAAAUGAGCUAACAAAAAUAGUUUUAGGAAAAAAUCAGUCCUGCCCCUGGUUCUCGGCUUGCAUAGAAGUUUGUAACUGAAGCAGACUGUCCCCCCAUGCAAGAGGAAAGACAAACUCUGUGGGACCCAGGAAGCCACAUGAAUGCCCUGGGGCUGAUGGAAGAGGGAGACAGAACGUGGGUGAGGGACAGAGGGGCAUGGCUGCCCCCGCUGACCCCUCCUUGGCAACAGGCGUUCGGCGUUCGGGCGGGCUCUCCCACACUCAGCCCCCAAGAAGGAUAGCAGCAAAGGACCCUGACCUGACAGCGGGAGGCCGAGCAGAAACUCCUGCCAAGGCAGAGCCGGGACCAUCUCUUUCAAAAAGUAUCCUGCAAAACCCAAGAAUCUGAUACAUGGAUUUUUCUUAAAGGCAUGGGGCAAGGUCAUUUCUCCUGCUUUCAAGUCCAGCACUCUGCCUGUCCCCAGGGCUGCCUGUCCCUGGGGCUGCCUGCCACCACCUGCGGAGUGCCCUCCAUCCAAGCCUGUUUGAUGGGCAGACCCAUUCUCCACGCAUUCAGAUUCUCCAUAUUGACAGCCUCGCUUUCUACAUUCAAGCGAGAAAGAACAUGAAGCACACACAGUAAGGGAUGGAACAAGACAGA